AUGGGCGACCUGCUUCAUCAAGGAUCAAGGUACAGGCGCCGAGGCUUGGCAGCAGGGCAUAAGGGCAAAAUCGGCCUACACAGCAAAACACCCUUCAUUCAUACCUGUGACACUCACACGACCACUCGUGAAAAACACCAACAGGAAUCCGCCCCCGCCUUAGGCACUCAGCUCCUAAGUGAGUUUUGUGUGUGUUUGUGUGUUUCAGCUGGUCCCGCAGUGAAGCCCUCCGUGUCUCUGCUGCCUCCCUCUUCUCUGCAGAUCUCUGGAGACUCAGCCGCACUGCUCUGCCUGCUCAGCUCUUACUCUCCACAGGGGGCGCAGGUGAGCUGGACGCUGGACGGGUCAGAGGUCACCGAGGGGGUUCAGACCAGCGCAGAGAGCGAGCGGGACGGACGCUACAGCCGCAGCAGCGUCCUGAGCCUCAGCAAAGCACGCUGGGAAGACGCAGAGCGCUUCGUCUGCAGAGUAACACAUGACGGAGCUGCUCAAGAGACCUCGUUCCUCAAGAGCUCCGAGUGCUGAUGUUUCUCCAGUGAAGAGCAGCAGGAUUCACAGCAGUCACGUGAUUUACAGCUCAAUACUCAAGCAGUCUUUCAAUCUGCUGCCAUUGCUGUUCAUUCAAUAAAGCUUCUGAACGCCUUA